rnacentral:sRNA from 2 species
UUUAUUUAUGCGCUGAAUUUUUGUUGAUCCAAAAAGCGGGGGACCCAGAUGUGGAUGCAUUGAUCCAUGGGGUGAAUUUCAUGGCUAUUGUCAUGAAUAGGGCAAUCUCUCUUGUCCGAAUCCGACAGCUAACCUCGUAAGCGUAACAAAGGGAGAGG